UACGGAGGAUCCAAGCGUUAUCCGGAUUUAUUGGGCGUAAAGAGCUCGUAGGUGGCCUGUCGCGUCGGCUGUGAAAACUCGGGGCUCAACUCCGAGCUUGCAGUCGAUACGGGCAGGCUAGAGUUCGGCAGGGGAGACUGGAAUUCCUGGUGUAGCGGUGAAAUGCGCAGAUAUCAGGAGGAACACCGGUGGCGAAGGCGGGUCUCUGGGCCGAUACUGACACUGAGGAGCGAAAGCGUGGGGAGCGAACAGG
rnacentral:rRNA from 1 species